UCUCCGUUGGUGAACCAGCGGAGGGAUCAUUACAGGAUUCGCAAGAACUCCCGUAACCACUGUGAACCUUACCUUCUGUUGCCUCGGCGGGCCUCUGAGAUUCGUCUCACGUCCGCCGGCGGCCCAUUAAACUCUGUUACUUUUAAGCAAUCUGAGUCUUUUAUAAAAUAAAGUCAAAACUUUCAACAACGGAUCUCUUGGUUCUGGCAUCGAUGAAGAACGCAGC
rnacentral:misc_RNA from 1 species